rnacentral:rRNA from 1 species
UACGGGGGGGGCAAGCGUUGUUCGGAAUUACUGGGCGUAAAGGGCUCGUAGGCGGCCAACUAAGUCGGACGUGAAAUCCCUCGGCUUAACCGGGGAACUGCGUCCGAUACUGGAUGGCUUGAGUAUGGGAGAGGGAUGCGGAAUUCCAGGUGUAGCGGUGAAAUGCGUAGAUAUCUGGAGGAACACCGGUGGCGAAGGCGGCAUCCUGGACCGGUAUUGACGCUGAGGCGCGAAAGCCAGGGGAGCAAACGGGG